CGAGCGCCAUUUUAGAAAUCGUUCGCGCUGCGAGCAGGGCGUCCCGCGCGCACAGCGCCGCCUCUGAGGGGUGGGAAGCGCUCCUGAACGCGGGGCGAGGCAAAAAGCAAGCAAAGCCCAUCGCCAACGAAAACAGACCCACAACAACCAACCAAAACCUCCAGACGGUGAGCUACCGCUUCAGUCAACGCAGGCCCACGGCCGACUAUGUGAGCUUUGGGCCAAGCGCGCUGCGCUAAGAGAAGCCUGCUGCUUCCGUGCUCUGGGGAGCGGCCGGCCGCCUGCGGGAAUGCGAGUUACAACGAGUCUAAAAGGUUCCAGCUUUUCAGGAACUGACUGGAUGGAAUGAUCCUGCAGCCCUGGCACAGCUGCAUUCAUGGAACUAUGCCCAUGGUUGGUGAAUAAGGCCCAGUAACAGAAUGAACAGCAAACCAUCCCGGAGCUGCAGUUUAGAAUAUAUGCAGUGAAGAAUUGCAUUUUUAGCUGCCUGGAAGCUCUAUUGAAUAUGGAGUGGAAUUAUGCUGGUAUGGAUAAAAGUGAAACAGAGGAAGCUAAGUGCCAAAUGGCAUCUUGACCCUAAAGACCAGAACUGACCAUUUAUGAACUGAAGACUAUUCCUGUAAGAGAAAAACUGAGUUCUUCUCACACUUCAGUGUCAGAGUAGCUCCAGCUAAGCUGCAGUGAUUUGGAUUUAAAAAAUAAAUAAAUAACAACUUUGCAGAAGCCAGCUGGAGCAUCUUUGAAGCAGUUCUCUCAUUUUUUUCCUGCUUUUUAUUGUUUCCCUUCCAUCUUUUUGUCCCAUCCUAUUAUGUACAUAGUCUGAGUUCCUGCUGACAGAUCCCUGCUAGAAGCAUCGUUUCUUUUCACUGGAUUUGCAGAGGGUGUAAUUCUUGACUGUAGCAGCAAAGGCCUUCCUAAGGAACCCAGAACUGCAGAGAUGAGGAGCAUAACUGCUUGGCAGCUGAGCACCUGAAUGUUUCUGCUGGGACUUUGACUGCCUUGACAUAAGGUGGGGUAAAACAUAGGUCAUGUUUACAGGAUGUUGUUAUUCCUCUAUAAUGAUGCCAGUAUAUCUCUGCUUUCCUGUGGGAAUGCUCUGUUCCAGAAUAAUCCUUUAAAUCCUUCAUUCUAAAGCAGAAUGUCUGCAGAAAGGAAAUACAUGGCAGUACCUGGGGUCUGAUACUUGUUCCAUAGUUAGCCAGGUCACUAUAACUAUGCAGACAAAAUUCUAAACAGCGUGGAAAAGCCAGAGGAUGCUGUUUUAAAGAAUACUGCACA